rnacentral:rRNA from 1 species
UACGUAGGGUGCAAGCGUUAAUCGGAAUUACUGGGCGUAAAGCGUGCGCAGGUGGUUGUGCAAGACAGAUGUGAAAUCCCCGGGCUUAACCUGGGAAUUGCAUUUGUGACUGCACGGCUAGAGUGUGGUAGAGGGGGAUGGAAUUCCGCGUGUAGCAGUGAAAUGCGUAGAUAUGCGGAGGAACACCGAUGGCGAAGGCAGUCCCCUGGGCCUGCACUGACACUCAUGCACGAAAGCGUGGGGAGCAAACGGG